UUGUGAUUUGUAGAUUUCUUGGGAUGGAACUAACAGAUGCCCUUCUCUAUGCAGCCAAGGCUCACUGCCCAAUGGGCAGUGAGCCAGUGGGUU
rfam:Ochotona princeps cont2.216248, whole genome shotgun sequence.